GAUCAGGGAAUGCACUGCACGUGCCGCUCCUGGCCCGGUGUUGUCACACGCACAACCACCACUCAGAAACCUACUCAAUCCAAUAACUCCUCCCAAGGAAAUGGGAAUUCUCAAAAUUAAUGAAGCUGCGUUGGAUUUUGAUCUGCAACAGUUCUUUUCGUGUUAUUUGACACAUGCAAAGGAAUAGAGAUCGCGGUAGUAAAAAGUAUUUAGGAGGUUGGUAUUAAUAAUGUAAUGUAGGGAUGGUCAUGUGAAAUUGACCAACGCAGACCUGCAUUCUUUUCUAUGUUAAUGGAUCUAUUAAUAAAGAAUAAAUUCCUCUGC